ensembl:miRNA
AUUACCUGAAGAUCUUGUUAAAAUGCAGAUUCUGGUCCAGUAAGCCUGUUGUGGGGCCUAAGAUUCUGCAUUUCUAACAAGUUCCCAGGUGAUGUCAAU